GAUGAACGCUGGCGGCGUGCCUAAUACAUGCAAGUCGAGCGAACGGACGAGAAGCUUGCUUCUCUGAUGUUAGCGGCGGACGGGUGAGUAACACGUGGAUAACCUACCUAUAAGACUGGGAUAACUUCGGGAAACCGGAGCUAAUACCGGAUAAUAUUUUGAACCGCAUGGUUCAAAAGUGAAAGACGGUCUUGCUGUCACUUAUAGAUGGAUCCGCGCUGCAUUAGCUAGUUGGUAAGGUAACGGCUUACCAAGGCAACAAUGCAUAGCCGACCUGAGAGGGUGAUCGGCCACACUGGAACUGAGACACGGUCCAGACUCCUACGGGAGGCAGCAGUAGGGAAUCUUCCGCAAUGGGCGAAAGCCUGACGGAGCAACGCCGCGUGAGUGAUGAAGGUCUUCGGAUCGUAAAACUCUGUUAUUAGGGAAGAACAUAUGUGUAAGUAACUGCGCACAUCUUGACGGUACCUAAUCAGAAAGCCACGGCUAACUACGUG
rnacentral:rRNA from 1 species